rnacentral:rRNA from 1 species
CUCAACGGAUAAAAGCUACCCUGGGGAUAACAGGCUUAUCUCCCCCAAGAGUCCACAUCGACGGGGAGGUUUGGCACCUCGAUGUCGGCUCAUCGCAUCCUGGAGCUGUAGCAGGUUCCAAGGGUUUGGCUGUUCGCCAAUUAAAGCGGUACGCGAGCUGGGUUCAGAACGUCGUGAGACAGUUCGGUCCCUAUCUGUCGCGGGCGCAGGAUAUUUGAGAGGAUCUGUCCUUAGUACGAGAGGACCGGGAUGGACGAACCUCUAGUGCACCAGUUGUCAUACCAAUGGCACAGCUGGGUAGCCAAGUUCGGCAGGGAUAAACGCUGAAGGCAUCUAAGCGUGAAACCCACCUCAAGAUGAGAUAUCCCACUAGCAAUAGGUAAGACCCCAUGUAGACUACAUGGUUGAUAGGUCAGGAGUGUAAGCAUAGUAAUGUGUUAAGCUGACUGAUACUAAUAGGUCGAGGGUUUGACCCAAAGAAA